GGAGUUAGCCGGUGCUUCUUCUGUGAGUGAUGUCCUUCCUGCCGGCUAUUAACCCGCAGGCCUUCUUCCUCACUGAAAGUGCUUUACAACCCGAAGGCCUUCUUCACACACGCGGCAUGGCUGGAUCAGGGUUGCCCCCAUUGUCCAAUAUUCCCCACUGCUGCCUCCCGUAGGAGUCUGGGCCGUGUCUCAGUCCCAGUGUGGCUGAUCAUCCUCUCAGACCAGCUACGGAUCGUCGCCUUGGUGAGCCGUUACCUCACCAACCAGCUAAUCCGACAUAGGCUCAUCCGAUAGCGCGAGGCCCGAAGGUCCCCCGCUUUCCCCCGUAGGGCGUAUGCGGUAUUAGCCUGUGUUUCCCCCAGGUUAUCCCCCACUACCGGGCAGAUUCCUAUGCAUUACUCACCCGUCCGCCGCUCGCCCACCACGGAGCACGACUCCCGUCGCUCGCCGCUCGACUUCGUCAUGUGUUAGGUCCGUCGCCGCCGACGCGUUCUACUACUGAGCCGACGAACGUACGAACCGUACCGUACGUACGUACGGACGGGCGGUCGGUCGGACGGACGGACGACG
rnacentral:rRNA from 1 species